rnacentral:rRNA from 1 species
AUGCGUUCUGGAAUUGUGCCGGUGAAGUCAUUGAAAAGAAGAUCUAACUUUUUUAGAUUCGGCAGGCUUAUGAAGUCGACCUUGGUAAGUUUUCCACUGAAGUGGUUGCUAUUGAGGUCAAUUGUCACGAGAUUCGUGCAGUUGCUUAGAGCUGUUGGCAGCUCCCCUGACAUGUUGUUGUGGUCCAAAUGCAGCUCCUCCAAUCUCUUCAGAUCACCUAUAGACUCUGGAAUAUUGCCGAUGAACUCAUUCCCCCCCAAGAUCAAGGGUGACCAGAUUUGUGAGCUUGCUGAUGCCAUUGAGAUCUCCUUCUAA